ensembl:lncRNA
CGUCGGGGUCGGGGCCCCGAGGUGCUCCGUCGCUGCGCAGGUGGGAGCGCAAAGGAAAGCACCGAGACGUGCGAGAGGCCAGGCGCGCUCCUCUCCGCGCGGUCGGAGCCGGGGGCUGAAGACCACUCGGCAGAGAGCCCCGCGGCAUCGGGGGCACCGUACUCUUUUGUUUGUUUGUCGUCGUUGUUGUGUAUUUCCUAAAGAACAAAACACAGACCCGAAGCGUACCCCGGGGAUUAACGUGUGAGCAAAACUGCCUGCGUUUAUCGACAGCGUAUCUUAACUGAUGCCACCUCGUAGCGCUGUAAAUAAAAAGUCUGCAUAAUACCGUGAAGAUUCCAUCUUUUAGAGUACUCGGAAUCUGAUGUGUUUGAGUUCUGUCCCAGAAAACCUCUCGGAGAAUCAGACAGCUUGUGAAUGCAGCAGCUUGGAAUUCAGGUCUUCCUGCGCAGGUCCUCCCCUGCUCCUUUCCAGAGCUUUAAGGACACUGACCCUGCCUCCAAACCCAGGAGAUUUGCCUCUUAAACGCUACUGGCACAGCCGGCACGGGGAGCAGGAGGGGUUCGCAUUGACAGGAUUCCAGGCAAAAGCCGGAGUUAAAGAGCACAGCGGCCCCCUCCUCCUUGGUUCUCAUCUAUUUAAAACUGCUCUAAAAUAGAUCUUUUAAAUAGAUGAGAGACGGGAGCUUUCUGUAGCCGCAGCGUAAGGGAGCCACAUCGACAACAAAGGCUCCCGCCUCUGUGCCUCAGUGCCCUGAGCUCAAACCACUGCUCGAGGAGAAAAUGGCACCGGGGGCUCAAAAAUCCCCACGGGGCUACACUGGAGCCUGAGCUCCAGAGGUUCGGAAGGAAACUGAAGAAGAAGUAGAUCCACCUUGAAAAUAACUCAGAAAUGAGCUGCUGAGACCGCUGGCUCCUCCCUCGGCGAAUGUGUACGUCUGCGGUGUUGUCUUUAGCACCCCGAUCAGCUGAACUGCUCACUCUUCCAACGGAUGAUUACUGUCAAUCCUAAGCACGCCAAAUAUUUUUACAGUGUUUGGGGAACCAAAAAAAAAAAAAAAAAUACCUUGAAACCAGAGAAGUGGUGAGAAGACUGAGCGAGCGGCGUGACACUGAUGUGGUGCUCGGGAUUGCUGCUCUGCACAAGGCCGCUGUCCUUCAGAAGUUUUCCGGCAUGAGAUCACGACUACUUGUGUGGCUGGGUUUGUUGUACAGAGGGCAAAAGCUGCAUCAUUCCACAGCAGGAGCCGAGUGCUUUUAAGAAAUGUAGGCUUUAAGUCACGUCACGCAGAGGGCAAGGGCGGUGUAUCACCGGCUACUGUGCAGCAAAUGGUGAGGGACCGCAAGAGAAACAGAUCCACGAAGGUGGAUGCCUUGCAAACAGUGAUCCGGGUUCAGAAACGCUACUGAAAAAAUUGCAAGCAACACAUGAGGAUUACCUUCUGCUCUGUUCAGGAGAAACUGGGGAGUUUUGCUUAAUUUAUGCAUAUUUUAGGCUGCUGUAAAGAGCUCUGAUCAGCAGCUUUGGAUACUGUAAGGGUAAUACAGUGACCCUCAACUUAGCCACAGAGGCUGCUCAGGAGAGGCUAUCUCUAGGUGUGAGCUGAGGAAGCACCUGCCAACAGGCUGCUUUGGUCAGGAAAAUCCUCCGGCACAUUGGAUAUACCUACCUGAUCGGAAUGCUCAGAAGGCUUCACAGCAGACAACGAAGAAAAAAAAUGCUUUGGUUAUCACAGAAGAACUUUGUGGAGGGUGAGAGGAAAGGAAGAAAUUGCCUACGAACAGACACUGGAGAGUGUUUUCUUCAGAGGACUACAGCUCCCAGAUGCUUCUGCUCCUUUCUGCUGCUCUAAGUUCUGCAGUUACUCAUCACUUGACUCUAAGCGGUUCCAGUCUGUUAUUCUGUAUCACAAUACAUGUUGAAUUGGUGGCAUCACAUUCCAUUCCAGCAAAAGUGACUGAAAACCCUUCCUGUCUCAUAGGCAGUGGGUGUUCUACUUUUCUUUCAAGUCCCCCUUUCUUUUCCCCUUCUCCCUCUGCCUCUCUUCACUCCACCAUGCAGUCACCACUUCUGCCAUCCCUGAGCAGCCAUGCAAGACAAGCACAAACUGUCUGGAGGGCUGAAAAUGGAAGACACGGCAGAUGGAAACACCAAAAUCAUCCUUUUCUGUAGGCUCUCUAAAAGCAGAGAUGCAAGAGAAUUUUGUACACUGCUUUUUUGUUUUUUUUUUUUCUUUUUUUUUCUUUUUGUGACUUGACACAGAUAUACCUGCUUGAUCUGGAUGCUCAGGAGGCUCUACAGCAGACAAUGAAGAAAACAUGUAGCUGUAGAUGUCCCUGUUUAUUGCAGGGCAGUUGGACUAGAUAACCUUUAAAGGUCCCUUCCAACGUAAACAAUUCUACGAUUGUAUGACUUCUGAGAUUUCUGAUUUUAAAACUUUAAGUGAUCUUUAUGCUGUUAGUAAAUUCUUUUAAAAUUAUAAGGAAGUAGUGCUACAUAAAGUGAAACUGUCAAAGACUUUACACAUUGAUUUGGCAAGCUAGGAUUGUCAGCAGUACUCACCUGUAUGUCACAACCAGGGACAUCUGUUAGAAAGAGAGGUGCCACCGCUGUGUUAACUCACACAUAGAUGACUGUAUCACCAAGGAGGCUGUGCAGCCUGAGACCUGCCACAGUCAUGCUGGGCUGAAGUGAGAUUUUUGUUGAAAAGAAGAUAAUGGGUGGUUCUGGGCACCACUGAGGCAUAUGCAGGGCAGUAAAGUAGACAAUGGCAAUCUUAGAGACCCAGAGAUGCAACAGACCAUCCAUCUCUGGUCAUUUCUGUCACAUGAAAAAGCAAACUUAAGUAAUCUCUGAAUUUUCUGAGCAUGGACAGCAUCUCAGAAAAAAUCACAAAUGCUGAACAAUUCUGAAGUAUGUUUUAACUCUGUUGGAUUUCUGAUCAAGAAUUGAAGUACAAAGAUACAUUGCUAGUAAGUAAAAUGCUUGCUGUUAUAUCUCUGCGUCUAUUUCGUACAUUAGAACUUGGAUUUUCCUCAAGCAUGUCUUAAAACUAGAAGGAAGGAUCCAUUUUUACUGUAAUCAAUUACUCACCUGAUUUACAUUCCAUGUUGGUUAGAAUUCAAGGAGUGAUGGAGCCCUAUGUCCCCAGCUGGCUCAUGCUUACUAUAGACAAGUGAUCACAUUUGGUCCUUGUCAGGCUUAAGAAUUCAGUUAUCCAAAAUUCAGUCAUGACAAUUCAUUUCAAACAGCAGUUAUAGCUACACUUUAAUCAGAACUGGCAAUGGAAGCAACAUAUUUUCUGACUGUACAAUUACUGAUCACUUUAGGCCUAUGUAAAGCAGGAAAAUAAAUUAAUUACAAAUUUGCUUCAGAAUACUACACCAAAGAUUUAAUAUAAACUGAUUUUUCCCAUUUGCCAGAUGUUAACAGGAUCGCUGGUGAAUUUGCACAGGUGAUUAAGCUCUUUGAGGGUAAAUCUUAUAAGAAAAAUAUUUUAAAAUAUGAUUUAUUAUUUUUAACUACUUCAAUUGAAAGCAAUAAAAUUCUCUGCUCGGUGCUUAA